ACGUUUACGGGCGCCGUCGCUCGUCGCAGCGGCGGGUGAGCGCGGCCUGCCUUCGGCUCGACUCGGCCGUCCUCGGGUCGCCUCGUACGCGGGCAACCUCGACGAACUUUUGUACGGGUCGAGGCCGAACGAGAAGACGAAGGUGGCGCAGCGGCGGGAAGGAGGAGGGUGAGGCUUCCCGCGGCGGCUUCCCAUUCUUACGGCCGUUACAUACCUCCUCAUCCUCGACCUAUCUCGUUAACUUCAUAACAAUUCGUCACUUUCUGCUUCUCGCUUAAUGAAGCCGAACGGCCGUCAAUGUUCCCGCGACGAAGAACGACCGCGUCAAUCGCCACCGUCGUCGUCGUCGUCGUUGUUGUCGGCGCGCGGAGUUUCGAAGGUUCUUUGUUGAAGAAGAUCCGGGGCGCGCGUACGGUAGCCCGCGCGAAAAUAUAUGCUACGAUACCUCCGUUCACGCGUGUAACAAUGUGUAGGUACGCGAGAACGGAACAAGGACGAGUGUGAAACGAGGACGAGAGGAUAAUCUCGCGUUACGCUCCAGAAGAUCCCGGCUCUCGUCCUUCCCUAGAUGCGCGACACGUGCGUCUCUCCCUCCCUUCGCCGGACUGGAAAUGUGAAACGCCGAGGGCGAGGCUCGUUUUGCCGCGUUUGGACGAACGAAAAACGCGAGGUUCGAAGGAAUUCAGGAAAAUUCCGGAGGGGAGGAUCUUUCAAUCAGGCGUAGCUGAGAUUGAGUUUAAUGCCUAGCAGAGUGAAUUAUAUAAGUAUGUGUCAAAAAGAGAUUUUUAUGAAUUAUAAAAUUGAUUCAACAAACACCCCACUGGUACUUAAGGGAGAUAACGGAAAAGAAGAGUCGCUAAGAACACGCACUCAGCUCUAAAGAAAAGGUAGAAGAAAAAUGAGAAUGAGAGAGAGAGAGAGAGAGACACUGGCGAUGAAGUAGUGAAGCUUUACUAUGAUUGAAGAAAUUCAGUAAGAAUCGAGGCUUCUCGGGAUUAUUUUUUUACUUAUUUUACUACUUUAUUUAUUUACUUUUUAUUUUAUUUUAUUUUCAAUAAUCAUUUUAUUGUUUUCAAUAACUAUAACCAUAAAUAUAUAUUCUACUCUAAAUUAAAAGUGAAAAUAAACGUGACUUGUGUGGCGUUUCUAUUUUAUAGAGGCAUAUAUUUCAACUUUUCGCUCUCGAAAACCAUUCGCGGCGGCUGACUGCGUCUCGGCCACCGGCAUUCGUCAAGAGGAAAAGUCUCGUUGCAAAGACUUUUUCAUUCUUUCGCACAGACCAUCUGGUUCUCGCGAUUUCCUAAUGCGGUUGAUACAAUUGGUACAAUGCGGCUGUACAGAACGGGAGGUACUGGGAACAGUGAGCGGGACAAUGCGCCGUAAAGUAUCCGGGAUUAUUCUUUAAGAGGCACGCUCGUAUUUUCUUUACGCACAGAAUAUCGCGCGCUGUUAAAGUUACUAAGAUACGCAUUCGGAAAUGCGAUUGGUUUCCAGACGACUCGCCUGUUUGGUGCGCGUGGUGAGCCUCGUGGGCCGCCGCGCCGCCGCCGCCGUCCGACGCAGAUUAUAUUAUGCAAGAGCUCAAUUAAAAGUGCACGGUUAAAAUGAAAAGCACGUGUGCGCCACGCGCUUUAUCAAACGCGAAGCAUCGUACGGCACAUAAAUCCUGCGAGGCGCGAUCGUUACUUCAGCAGGGCGCGGUCGGACGAACUCGUUUUGCUCGUACGCGUCGCUUUUGACUCCUCCAUGUCGCGCCGCUUCUCGUAUUUCUGUCUCAUAUGGUCACGUUCUAAGUGCCGGGGCUCGAUGGCACUUUGUAUCAAUGAUCGCGUUGAGGAAAUAUAAUGGCGCACUCGCGAUCUCUGGCAGCCGCGGCGAUUGAGUAUGAUUGGUCGGAUCUAUCAGUAUGCAUCAAUCAUCAAACUCAAUUUGCUAUCGUAGCUCUGUGCAACAGUUUAAUUUCCCGAACGGAAAACGCCAAUUAUGGAAAUUACCCAACCCAAUUUGCUUUGAGAUUGCCCUUAGAUGCCCGUCUAAUAAGGUUGAGCCUUGUGUCAGCGAUUCCGCUUCCGUCGAGGGAAAUGUACGACGGUAAAAAAGCGGACGAGGCUAAGAAAUAAGGAUGCGAAUGUAUUUUAGGUGUAAUUCAGAAUUUGACUUGGUGUCACCCACUAAAAUUUUCUUUCUCUCUCUCUCUCUCUUUGCUGCUUUAUUGCCAAAUUUUAAUUACGAUGUGAUUCUGAAAUCUAUAUUUUUAUCGAAUAACUUGGUAAAGUUAUUCAAUGAAAACGGAUGACUUGUUACCCUCUUCCUCUCUAUCGAUUCUAAAAACCAAUUCCUUUUUGCGCUACGAUCUUUUUUGGAGCAACGUUGCAGAUAAGAUUCCGCUCUAACGUUAUAUCUAGAGUUAGCCACUGGAUAUCACAUUUCAUUUGAAACACACGCUCUCGGAAUAAUAUAUUAGGCUCUCUUUUCUUCUAAUCAAUCAGGCAAAAUUUUGCAACGCAGACCCAGAAAUUCCGAAGAUAAUAAUUGCUUCCACAUUGCACGCGCAAUCUUUCAAUGUCCGCAUAUUACUUUGCGAAAUAUGAUCGCGGCAACGUCACUUCCGGGACUAUCGCGUGCGGGGAGAGAAAGAGAGCCAGGCGGCGAUCAAUCCUCCAAUUCAUCUCGGCGCCAUUCUUUUCGUUUCGCGUUAGAUCGUUAGAGCCCUAUGAAAUUCAAUUCGCGCCCCGUCAUUCCAGUGUAUCAUUUCUGGAUCCGCGUUACGCAAGUGCCUUUCACUGGCACGCUAGCUGUCACCUUCUUCUGCGGCG